rnacentral:misc_RNA from 1 species
AAAGUCGUAACAAGGUUUCCGUAGGUGAACCUGCGGAAGGAUCAUUACCGUGAAGCGGCUGGGGGACCAUCCCCCCAGCGCGCCGACCCUGUGUGUACGUUCUGGUUGCUUCGGCGGGCCGUCCGCUCGUCGGCCGCCGGCCUCGGCCGGUGUGCGCCCGCCGGAAGACCGUCCAACCCGGCCUUACGGUGACGUCCGAGCAAAAACAUUGAGAAAUCAGCAAAACUUUCAACAACGGAUCUCUUGGUUCCG